AAGAAGAAGCAAUGCUAUUAGUAUUCACUUGACUGCUGAAACUCAAAAUCAGUAUCUCUAUUUUCCCAUUGCUGUGGGGAGUGCAUGAUGGAGUCGAGGAGGUGCCGUCUUUGUUUAAAUUACGUUAAGCGUAUUCAAGAUAUGGUUGAUCUAUUUCAUGAUAAAAAUUCCCACUUAAUAGCGCAACUCAAUUCAACUAGUAAAUUGCAGCUCGAGAAAAUUCCAGGAUAUCCGUUGCUUAUUUGCAGGGUAUGCCUCAUGGACCUGGGAUAUGCCACUGCUUUUCGCAACCGCUGUUCUCUUUCAGAAAAACAGUUGAUACAGAAGUUAAUUCAAAAUUUGACUACUGCAAAUCGGGCAACUUAAAGGAGUUCAUGAGAAUUAUCUUACAAGGGUUUCAAAUUACGUCUAUGUGAAAGCCAUUGAUUGAUUACAUUGACUCUGUAUGCUAUAUUGAAGCACUCAAAAUUGUAAUGCAAGGACAUUACGGAAUUUCAUGAGUACAAAUUACUUCGCUGUAAUGAGCUAUCAAAUCUGAUGCUUUAGCAUUUCGAGAGGGCUUAAGCAUUAGUCAAUUUUAUGUGUGUUAUAUAUUGCCAUUAAUAUUUCACAACAAAGGAGUUGAUCCAGCACUAGUCGUUCUAUCGACUACUAUGAAUAUGCGAAAAGUCUCUUCAUCUCGAGUUGCCUGAAGAAGCCACAAUAAAUCCGAAGUCCUCAACACAUCAACUAUGCAAGUGACCCCGUCAUGUAGGCCAUAAAACAUUGAGGAUGUUGGUUAGCAAUCCAACCUACUAUAUCGAUAUUGUAUUCUCCUAGCCUAAGA